AAGUUUGGAUCAAUAUAAAAGAUAGACCUUUUGCUUCUUCAUUUUCCUGAACUUGUUCUAUUUACUAAACUUGUAAUCUCUCCACGUUAAUGAAUCCCAAAUAUUCGACCAAAAAUGAAUAAUCGAAAGAAAUCCAAACGUUAUAAUAUUGAUCUCUACUGUUGGUUCUUCCAAGUUGCAGCUGUCUUAAGUUUGAUCUCAUUAGUCAUGUGGCUUUGUUUGAUUCCAAGAAAUCCAAUUUUCACUCUUGUUGAUUUCUCCUUUCUUGAUUUGAACGUUAAGAAUUCUUCUCUCCAUGGCGACAACAAUUCUGCAGAAGUUCUACACAAGGGAUUUACCAAGGCCACAAAAACAUUACAAGAAAGGAAGUGCAAAUGUAUAAUGUUGAUGAGCUAUUUUGGCGAGGAAUUGGAAAUGGAAGUAUAGAUUUCGUAGUUCGUUUGGAAACAAAAGUUAAGUUUAAGAUAUUCAAAAGGAGGACGAAGCUACGAGAGAUAAAUUAUGUAGCAUAUAUUAGUAAUAUGACGAUAAGUUCUAAUGGAACUAUAUCUGGUGAAAAGUUUGUUAAAUUGUACCCCCAAAAGUUUUCACUUUUGACAUAAACUGAAACUUUAGGUGUGUUCUGUUACGAUAUGUCGAAGCUACUUCUUACUAGGUCAUAUGCUAAAAUUAGCUUACUAACAUUCUUUUAAGGUCAUUCUAUGAAAUUUGACCAACUCCCAUGAGGAGAAUUUUUUUAA